rnacentral:rRNA from 1 species
GCCAGACUCCUACGGGAGGCAGCAGUGGGGGAUAUUGCACAAUGGGGGGAACCCUGAUGCAGCGACGCCGCGUGGGUGAAGGAGUAUUUCGGUAUGUAAAGCCCUAUCGGCAGGGAAGAAGCAAGACGGUACCUGACUAAGAAGCCCCGGCUAACUACGUGCCAGCAGCCGCGGUAAUACGUAGGGGGCGAGCGUUAUCCGGAUUCACUGGGUGUAAAGGGAGCGUAGACGGCCAAGCAAGCCAGGGGUGAAAGCCCGGGGCCCAACCCCGGGACUGCCCUUGGAACUGCUUGGCUGGAGUGCGGGAGGGGCAGGCGGAAUUCCUGGUGUAGCGGUGAAAUGCGUAGAUAUCAGGAGGAACACCGGUGGCGAAGGCGGCCUGCUGGACUGCAACUGACGUUGAGGCCCGAAAGCGUGGGGAGCAAACAGGAUUAGAUACCCUAGUAAA